rnacentral:rRNA from 1 species
CCUACGGGUGGCAGCAGUGAGGAAUAUUGGUCAAUGGGCGGAAGCCUGAACCAGCCAAGUAGCGUGCAGGAUGACGGCCCUACGGGUUGUAAACUGCUUUUAUACGGGAGUAACGCGCCUUACGUGUAGGGCUUUGCAUGUACCGUAUGAAUAAGGACCGGCUAAUUACGUGCCAGCAGCCGCGGUAAUACGGAAGGUCCGGGCGUUAUCCGGAUUUAUUGGGUGUAACGGGUGCGCAGGCGGUCUGUUAAGUCAGAGGUCAAAGCCCGGGGCUAAACCCCGGCCCGCCGUUGAAACUGGCAGGCUCGAGUUGGAGAGAAGUAUGCGGAAUGCGCGGUGUAGCGGUGAAAUGCAUAGAUAUCGCGCAGAACUCCGAUGGCGAAGGCAGCAUGCUGGCGCCACACUGACGCUGAGGCACGAAAGCGUGGGUAUCGAACAGGAUUAGAUACCCCUGUAGUC